AACGAACGCUGGCGGCAUGCCUAACACAUGCAAGUCGAACGAAACCUUCGGGUCUAGUGGCGCACGGGUGCGUAACGCGUGGGAAUCUGCCCUUGGGUCUGGAAUAACAGUUAGAAAUGACUGCUAAUACCGGAUGAUGACUUCGGUCCAAAGAUUUAUCGCCCAGGGAUGAGCCCGCGUCGGAUUAGCUAGUUGGUGAGGUAAAAGCUCACCAAGGCGACGAUCCGUAGCUGGUCUGAGAGGAUGAUCAGCCACACUGGGACUGAGACACGGCCCAGACUCCUACGGGAGGCAGCAGUGGGGAAUAUUGGACAAUGGGCGAAAGCCUGAUCCAGCAAUGCCGCGUGAGUGAUGAAGGCCUUAGGGUUGUAAAGCUCUUUUACCCGGGAUGAUAAUGACAGUACCGGGAGAAUAAGCCCCGGCUAACUCCGUGCCAGCCGCCGCGGUAACAC
rnacentral:rRNA from 1 species